rnacentral:rRNA from 1 species
UCCGUAGGGUGCGAGCGUUGUCCGGAAUUAUUGGGCGUAAAGGGCUCGUAGGCGGUUUGUCGCGUCGGGAGUGAAAACAUCGGGCUUAACUCGGUGCUUGCUUCCGAUACGGGCAGACUUGAGGCAUGCAGGGGAGAACGGAAUUCCUGGUGUAGCGGUGAAAUGCGCAGAUAUCAGGAGGAACACCGGUGGCGAAGGCGGUUCUCUGGGCAUGUUCUGACGCUGAGGAGCGAAAGUGUGGGGAGCGAACAGG